rnacentral:tRNA from 1 species
GGAGGGCCCACAACUCAACGGCAAAGCAUCUGCUUGACAUGCAGAAGGUCCCCGGUUCAAUUCCUGGCAUCUCCG